UAGUGGGUGAGGGAUAAUUCCUCUUAUUUUCCAGUGAGAACUACCUGUGGAAAGGAUACUCAGUAGAACCGAUCCGACCGUGAGGGACGAGCCUGGGUCGCAACGGGAAUAGUAACCCGUUAGUCCCAGGGUGUAACGCUGCCGACUUGGUGUGGAAGGCCUUCGGGGCAUUCCAGUGCCUGAGAAGAAGUUGUAAAGUCGGCUACUGGGGAGUACGUCCGCAAAGGAUGAAACUUAAAGGAAAUUGGCAGGGGAGCUCCGCAACUGGAGAGCGUGUACAUUUAAUUGGAUUCAACACCGGAAAACUCACCCAGGGCGACUAUCACAUGAAAACCCAGGCUAACGACCUUGCUUGAUUAUAGAGCGGUGCUGCAUGGCCGUCGUCAGUUCGUACCGUAAAACGUUCUCUUAAGGGAGGGGGACGAACGACCCCCUCAUCUAUAAGAAGAAAGAUUCACCCUCCGGGGUGGAGGCACAUAAUGGGGGGGGGGGGGGGGCUAAGUCAGAGGAAGGAGAGGUCAACGGUAGGUCAGUAUGCCCCGAAUCUCUUGGGCUACACGCACGCUACAAAGGGCGGGACAAUGGGCUACGACGCCGAAAGGCGAAGUCAAUCUCGAAACCCGUCCGUAGUUCGGACUGAGGCUUGUAACUCAGCCUCUUGAAGCUGGAUUCGGGAGUAAACGGAACAAACUCCGGGAAUAUCUCCCGCCCUUUGGACGCAGAGUAAUCGGAAGCAGCGCGACAGUCCA
rnacentral:rRNA from 1 species